rnacentral:rRNA from 1 species
UACGGAGGGUGCAAGCGUUACUCGGAAUCACUGGGCGUAAAGGGCGCGUAGGCGGCCUAGCAAGUCUGGUGUGAAAGCCCAGGGCUCAACCCUGGAAGGGCACUGGAAACUGUUAGGCUUGAGUUCCGGAGAGGAGGGGGGAAUUCCCGGAGUAGCGGUGAAAUGCGCAGAUAUCGGGAGGAAUACCGGUGGCGAAGGCGGCCACCUGGCCCGAUACUGACGCUGAGGCGCGAAAGCGUGGGGAGCAAACCGG